CCCAAGAUCUACCCAGCGAAUAACCGAUGUGGGACUAAACACACGCCCGCAUGGGUCCUCACAGUAGGUGAGUCCGGCAACCAAUCCCUUUGGACAGAGUAACAGCUGAAAAGGUAUGAAUUCAGAUAGUAUCAAGUUUCAUGGAUGCGUUUUCUGCCCUCCUGCUUGUGAGGUCACCCAUUAAACUAUUAUCUACCAAAGUCAUCACGUCUCCAUUCACUGCAAUAGCCCAGAAUGACAGAUGCUCAGCUGUAAAUUAUUUUUUUCAAGAACAAUAAAUCUUGUUCCAGUGGUCAAACUUGGACCAAAGUUAUGUUUGGAUGGGGUUGUUACACAUUGGGUAAAAUGGUGAGAAAGAAACGAAGUGUCCUACUACCCUUACAAGUGAUUUACAGCAAGGAAGAGUUAUGAAGAUCUCAAAAGAAUGACAAUGCUCUGCUGUGAGAGAGAACACUGCAGACCGAGGGAAGAGUUAUGUAGCUGGUCCAUAAGAACACCAUCUUAGAAGGCAAUUGCUAGACUAGUAAUUUUGAUGCUCUCUAUUCAGAACUAGAUGAUAACAAAAGUGAUGUGCCAUCUUAUAAAUAGAACCUAUUCAUUGAUAAGAGGUUUCAUGUUUUCUUUUGCCAGCUGCCAGGUUCUCUUCAGGGUAAGAAAUCUUUUAUGGAUUGAAUAAAUCUAUUGUACUUCUCCCUCUUUCAUAGCAUAUAUUUUCAUGAUUUGGGUGCUUACUUUUUUCCAAUUCUAUUCUUGUUUGGAUUUUUUAAAUUUAUAUGGUAGGGUGCUGUAAUUUCUACGAUAUACUUGAUGAAGUAUGGAACACCUUUUUCUCUAUUGAAACGGUACUUGUAAGUUUUACCAACUGUUUUCAUAUUAUAUCAGGGUGCAAAAUUCAUCUUGAAAGUUGUCAUCUUUGCGAAAUUGUAUGACUGGAAAAGGGACCAAUAAGACACUUAGGUUGAUAUUUCAUUGGAUGGAAAAUGCCAUGAACUCAGUGGCCACUUUCGCUCUCUUCGUUCUCAUUUUUAUAGCAAUACCUUGCAAAUAGAAUGCCUACUAAUCUGAUUAAAACUAAAAUAAAUAUGUAGAUUCUUAAAAAGUCAAAUUUGAACUUAAGAAAAUGAAACAAUGUCAUUAGCAAGGUUCGCCGUCUCGGUGCCAGACCCCGUACCGGUGCCACACUAGCACAGUGUUGCUACGGUAUGAUACGAAAUUUUUUUGGCAUAUCGAGUGUCGGUACGCCACCCAUACCAGAUACUGGUACAGAACUGGUUUGGUACGGUAUGCCUCGUACUGCCCGGUUCGGGCCGGUAUGGUGUACCAUGGUCAUCACCAUAUCAAUCCAGCCUAUGUUUGGUGGGUUUGGGUUGUAUAUUUUAGGUGAAAGAAUGAUUCACCUUCUUUCGCAACAUCAACCGUUCAUUUUGCGUAAAAGAUACAACCCGAACCUAUAUUUAGUAAUGCUAUAUGAACUAAUAAUUUCAUCAAUGUUGCAAACCUAGCUAUCACUCUAGAUAUGAAUACCUUACGAUUGCAAAGAGAAUGUCCGUCCAGCUGGUUAUAACAUCAAACACCAAACAUUGAAAGGUAACACCAAGGUUUUGCUGACAACACAUUGCUUCAUAGCUUGGAAAAUUUGAGCUUGGGCAGCUCAUUCAUAGAUCUGACCAUCUAAUAUGAUCUGAUUAUGGCCUUCCUACUCUCAACUUCUAACUUGUUUCUAAAAGUAAGAUGAAAAAUUACCAAAACAUGAGUAUAGUUAAUUGCAAACGCAUCUAUGUAUGUGACUCAAGACACAAAUCAAUCUUUGCUUGGACUUAUGCCACUAGGUGAGAUCAUUCUUAGAUGACUUAUGUCGCUUUGAGGGACAGCUCAUCCUUGUUUCCUUAUGUUUAAGUAAUGUUAUGUAAAUUGAAGUUGAAUAGAAUAUUCUAUGCUGCCCAUUCAUAGUGAAAGACUACAAGCUGUGGGACAUCAUUCUUAGCUACUUGAUUGUUUCAAACCCUUUGCUCAUUGCAUGAAAAGGCUUCUGUUUCUUCUGAUUAAGUACUUAUUAUAUUGAGAGCAAGGAGAAAACUUCCAUUGACUAAGAAUUACAAAUUAUUGAUGCUAAUGAGAAAGCUGAAGUAGGUUCAAAAGCCAUAAAGUUGACCAUCAAAAUAAUAUUAUUUAAUAAUCCAACUCAUCCAACCACAUCAACAGAAUAGACAAACUAGUUGCACGGUUGUGGUCUGUUUCUUAUGAUAUUUUCCCUCGAAUUAUGUAUCAUCACAUUAGUGUGACGUUCUUAGAAAUUUUAGUUAAAACUUUAAUUCUGCUUAUUUGUGCAUCCUCUUUUCUCUUAUACAGAAGCUUAUUACCGUGGUUUGCUAUACCGCCUUGUAUCGGCCGAUAUAGAGUUUACCAUAUCGCCCGGUACGAAGUGUACUAUAUGGACCAGGAGAAAACAAGUACAAAACUCAAGUUCGGAUUAGGACAAGCCUUAUACCACCCCAUACCGUGCCGUUUCAAUCCGUACUGAGGUGUACGACUUUGUAUCAAGGUUUGUAUUGAUCUGUAUCGAGACGUACCAAACGGUAUCGAGGUGUGGACCAGGAGAAAACAAGUACAAAACUCAACUUCGGAUUAGGACAAGCCCUAUACCACCCCAUACCGUGCCGUUUCAAUCCUUACUGAGGUGUACGACUUUGUAUCAAGGUUUGUAUUGAUCUGUAUCGAGACGUACCAAACCGUAUCAAGGUGUAGCAAAAUAAAAAUUCAGAAAAAUAAAUAGAGGGCAAUUUUAAUAUAAGUUGCGUAUCGUACCAUACCGACCAUACUGAAUAAUAUGGUAUCAAUGCGAUAUCUGGAAUUGAGAUUGAGGACCUUAAUUAUUAUAGUAUAUUAUGUUUAAAAGUGAUACUGUAACCAACAUUCAAACAAAUGAAAGAUUUUUCAAUAAAGAAAUUUCUCCUCCAAGAAGCAAUUAAUUAUUUUAAUUGUGUGAUAGAUAGAGGAUGAAUUAACUGAUUUACAUAUUGAUAUUUGAUUGAAUAUUCCAAAUUCUAUAGAAUCCUCUUACUAGCUUGAGAGAAUCUUUUUUUUCUUUUCCCAGGUUAUGCGAUCCUUUCCAUAUAAUCCAAUGAUUCCAAAGGAAGACCCAUGUAAUGGUGCCCUUCAAGAUAAGGAUUGGCAUACAAUUCUUCAGGCUAUUCUCAACUGACAGAACAGGCGACUCUGUUUGUGAGAGAUGCUGAACUAAAAUCUUGUUGGCAUUGCUGCUGCUGCGGCUGCUGUUGAUGAUAAGUUGGUUGAACAUGGGUGAACAGUUUGAACUUGUUCAAAACUUGGCAUAUCAGGGUGUUUUUCGUACAUGGUAACACCGAAAAGAUAUGAAUUCAGCUAGUAUCAAGUUUCAUGGAUGUGUUUUCUGCCCUCCUGCUUGCAUUGUCGCCUAUUAAAAUAUUGUCAACCAAAAAAUUUUCCAAA